ACAGCCCCCAAAUAUUUCUCAACAAAUCUCCCUCUAAAACCCUUGAUAUUUUGCUUAAAACCCGACCAAUUUUCUCGGCAAAUCAUACAAAUGGCAGCAAUUGGGAUCGAUUUGGGAACAACUUACUCAUAUGUUGGUGUAUGGCAACAUGAUCGGGUUCAGAUUGUUGGUAAUAAUGAUGGAAAUCGAACAACACCUUCUUAUGUUGCUUUUACUGAGACUGAACGUCUGAUCGGUGAUGGUGCUAAGAAUCAAGUCGCCAGGAAUCCUGUCAACACCAUUUUUGAUGCAAAACGAUUGAUUGGUAGGAAAUUCAGUGAUAGGAUUGUGCAGAAUGAUAUGAAACUAUGGCCAUUCAAAGUUAUUGCUAGAGAUGACAAGAGGCCGGUGUUUCAAGUGCAGCACAUGGGGGAGGAGAAACAAUUUUCACCUGAAGAAAUUUCUGCUAUGGUUCUGAGUAAGAUGAAAGAAAUUGCAGAAGGUUAUCUUCGUUCAGAUGUUAAGGAUGCUGUAAUUACGGUCCCUGCUUACUUUAAUGAUUCGCAGCGUCAAGCUACUAAGGAUGCUGGAACCAUUGCUGGCCUUAAUGUGAUGCGGAUUAUAAAUGAACCUACGGCGGCUGCUAUUGCGUAUGGACUUGAUAAGAAGAAGGAUGCUGAUGAAUUGAAUGUUCUUAUCUUUGAUCUUGGUGGGGGUACUUUUGAUGUUUCCAUACUCACCAUUGGAGAUGGUGUCAUUCAAGUCAAGGCUACAGAUGGAGAUACACAUCUUGGAGGGGAGGACUUUGAUGACAGAAUGGUCAAUCACUUUGUGAAAGAGUUCAAGAGGAAGAACAAGAUGGACAUUACUAGAAACCCAAGGGCUCUUAGGAGGCUGAGGACAGCAUGUGAGAAGGCAAAGAGGAGUCUCUCAAACCAGUCUAGCACAAGAAUUACCUUGGACUCUUUGUGUGAAGGAGUUGAUUUCGAUGUGGAAGUUCUACGUGGUAAAUUUGAAGAACUGAACAAGGAUUUGUUCAAGAAAUGUAUGGAAUCUGUUAGAAAAUGUUUGGAAGGGUCCAAGAUUGAAAAGAGCAGCAUUCAUGACAUUGUGCUCGUUGGUGGGUCCACUAGAAUACCAAAGAUUCAGUCUCUAUUGGAGGAAUUCUUUCCUGGAAUGGAACUAUCCAAGAGCAUCAACCCUGACGAAGCUGUGGCUGAGGGUGCUGCAAUUCAAGCUGCUAUGUUGAGUGGUGUGGAUAAUAAGAAGGUACAGGACUUGGUCCUGUUGGAUGUCACCCCUCUUUCUCUCGGUGUUAAAAAGCUUCAAACUGUUAUGGAUGUGGUCAUUCCAAGGAACACCCCCAUUCCAGUAAAGAUGGAAAAGCUUUACUCGACCCAUGAGGAAAAUCAAGAUCACUUCCAUAUUCAUGUGUAUGAGGGUGAGAGAAGUGGGGUACAUGAUAACAAUUUUUUAGGAGAAUUUAAGUUAGAAGGAAUUCCUCCAGCCCCUCGUGGUGGUUACGAUGUCAAAGUAUCUUUUGAUGUCGAUGCUAAUGGUAUAUUGACUGUCUUUGCUGAAGACAAGAUCACUGGAAACAGAAAAGAGAUAACAAUUAGACAUAGUGUGGGGAGGUUUCCAGAGGAGGAGAUUAAGAGAUUGAUUAGAGAGGCUGAGAUAUUUAAGCUUCAAGAUGAAGAACAGAAGAAGAAGGUGGAGUCAAGGAACUCCAAUCACAAUUAUGUAUCCGACAUAAGAAGCAAGAUCCAGAAAUUUGGAGGGAAGCUAGAAUCUAAGGAUAGGAAGAAAAUUGAGGCUGCACUAGCUAAGGUUGACCAGUGGUUGGAUAACGAUGUAUUGUGUGAGUUAGUCGAAAUUAACAACCAGGUGGAGGAAUUAAAGAAUGUUUGCACUCCAAUCAUAUCUAAAAUGAAUGGGGUGAACAACAACAGCAAGGCCAUCACCAAGGUCAUCAAGGCGAGUGUCGAAUUGAGAUUGUCUUAAAUGUUCCAGAACUUAACGGUCUUGUUGACCCCAAAGCUGGUGUUACUGAGGUUUUGGAUAUGAGUUUAGAUGCUCAAGAACCUAACGGUCACGUUGAGUCUGAAGCUGGUGUUACUGAGGUUUUGGAUAUGAAUUUAACACCGGAAAGUUCCAUGGAUGAGCAAAUGGAUGAGGUUUUAGGUGAAGCCGACUACUUGCCAUUAUAACUGUUGCAUUUUGUUCAUAAAUACAAGUAGAUGGCCAGAGAUAGUUCGUUUUCUUGUGUUCAAUGUUGGUCAUAGUAUGACUGAAGUACAACAGGUUAUAAACAAUUGGGAGCACUUUAGCGGAAUGGUGAUCCUGCUUCAUCAACGAAAGAAAACAAUUAGUCCAAUGUGUACUGAGUAAUUGCUAAGCUAACUCAGAUGCUCCAUUGAAAGAUGAAACAUGGGAAUUUUGGAGAGAAUUCAUAUAAAUUGUAACUCAGUAUAUUCUAUUUUGAAAGUUCAUUUCAUUAAACUGCAGCUCAGUCUACCAGAAAUGUGAAUUGGGAGACAUCUUAAUGUGUGCAGUCCCGAAUUUUGUUGAUGUUUAGUCAUCUUUCUUCCUUUUGUCCAGUUUAUGAUCUGAUGAAUCCCUCUGCGAUGGCAUUUUACCAAUGUUUAGUCAGUUUUCUUCCUAUUAUCCAGUUUAUGAUCUUCUGAUGAAUCCCUCUGCAAUGCUUUC